rnacentral:rRNA from 1 species
GUCUACGGCCAUACCACCCUGAACGCGCCCCAUCUCGUCUGAUCUCGGAAGCUAAGCAGGGUCGGGCCUGGUUAGUACUUGGAUGGGAAAUCAAGUAAAAGAAAUCAAGUACAAAUC